AGUAGAUAGGAGAGAGAAAAGGC
rnacentral:piRNA from 1 species